rnacentral:rRNA from 2 species
AGAGUUUGAUCAUGGCUCAGAUUGAACGCUGGCGGCAGGCCUAACACAUGCAAGUCGAGCGGUAGCACAGAGAGCUUGCUCUCGGGUGACGAGCGGCGGACGGGUGAGUAAUGUCUGGGAAACUGCCUGAUGGAGGGGGAUAACUACUGGAAACGGUAGCUAAUACCGCAUAANNNNNNNNNNNNNNNNNNGUCGCAAGACCAAAGUGGGGGACCUUCGGGCCUCAUGCCAUCAGAUGUGCCCAGAUGGGAUUAGCUAGUAGGUGGGGUAACGGCUCACCUAGGCGACGAUCCCUAGCUGGUCUGAGAGGAUGACCAGCCACACUGGAACUGAGACACGGUCCAGACUCCUACGGGAGGCAGCAGUGGGGAAUAUUGCACAAUGGGCGCAAGCCUGAUGCAGCCAUGCCGCGUGUAUGAAGAAGGCCUUCGGGUUGUAAAGUACUUUCAGCGGGGAGGAAGGCGAUAAGGUUAAUAACCUUGUCGAUUGACGUUACCCGCAGAAGAAGCACCGGCUAACUCCGUGCCAGCAGCCGCGGUAAUACGGAGGGUGCAAGCGUUAAUCGGAAUUACUGGGCGUAAAGCGCACGCAGGCGGUCUGUCAAGUCGGAUGUGAAAUCCCCGGGCUCAACCUGGGAACUGCAUUCGAAACUGGCAGGCUAGAGUCUUGUAGAGGGGGGUAGAAUUCCAGGUGUAGCGGUGAAAUGCGUAGAGAUCUGGAGGAAUACCGGUGGCGAAGGCGGCCCCCUGGACAAAGACUGACGCUCAGGUGCGAAAGCGUGGGGAGCAAACAGGAUUAGAUACCCUGGUAGUCCACGCCGUAAACGAUGUCGAUUUGGAGGUUGUGCCCUUGAGGCGUGGCUUCCGGAGCUAACGCGUUAAAUCGACCGCCUGGGGAGUACGGCCGCAAGGUUAAAACUCAAAUGAAUUGACGGGGGCCCGCACAAGCGGUGGAGCAUGUGGUUUAAUUCGAUGCAACGCGAAGAACCUUACCUGGUCUUGACAUCCACAGAACUUAGCAGAGAUGCUUUGGUGCCUUCGGGAACUGUGAGACAGGUGCUGCAUGGCUGUCGUCAGCUCGUGUUGUGAAAUGUUGGGUUAAGUCCCGCAACGAGCGCAACCCUUAUCCUUUGUUGCCAGCGGUUCGGCCGGGAACUCAAAGGAGACUGCCAGUGAUAAACUGGAGGAAGGUGGGGAUGACGUCAAGUCAUCAUGGCCCUUACGACCAGGGCUACACACGUGCUACAAUGGCAUAUACAAAGAGAAGCGACCUCGCGAGAGCAAGCGGACCUCAUAAAGUAUGUCGUAGUCCGGAUUGGAGUCUGCAACUCGACUCCAUGAAGUCGGAAUCGCUAGUAAUCGUAGAUCAGAAUGCUACGGUGAAUACGUUCCCGGGCCUUGUACACACCGCCCGUCACACCAUGGGAGUGGGUUGCAAAAGAAGUAGGUAGCUUAACCUUCGGGAGGGCGCUUACCACUUUGUGAUUCAUGACUGGGGUGAAGUCGUAACAAGGUAACCGUAGGGGAACCUGCGGUUGGAUCACCU